rnacentral:rRNA from 1 species
AGUGAACGCUGGCGGUAGGCCUAACACAUGCAACUCGAACGGCAGCACAGUAAGAGCUUGCUCUUACGGGUGGCGAGUGGCGGACGGGUGAGGAAUACAUCGGAAUCUACUUUUUCGUGGGGGAUAACGUAGGGAAACUUACGCUAAUACCGCAUACGACCUACGGGUGAAAGCAGGGGAUCUUCGGACCUUGCGCGAUUGAAUGAGCCGAUGUCGGAUUAGCUAGUUGGCGGGGUAAAGGCCCACCAAGGCGACGAUCCGUAGCUGGUCUGAGAGGAUGAUCAGCCACACUGGAACUGAGACACGGUCCAGACUCCUACGGGAGGCAGCAGUGGGGAAUAUUGGACAAUGGGCGCAAGCCUGAUCCAGCCAUACCGCGUGGGUGAAGAAGGCCUUCGGGUUGUAAAGCCCUUUUGUUGGGAAAGAAAAGCAGCAGGUUAAUACCCCGCUGUUCUGACGGUACCCAAAGAAUAAGCACCGGCUAACUUCGUG